rnacentral:rRNA from 1 species
GAUGAACGCUGGCGGCGUGCCUAAUACAUGCAAGUCGAGCGGACGGACGGGACUUGUGCCUCUCUUCAGCUAGGGACGGGCGGGUGAUUCACACGAGUCUACCUGACCUAUGAGGCUGGGAUCACUUCGCGAGAGCGGAUACCGCAUCCGUCAUUAUUUUGAACCGGGGGGUUCAUAGGAGAUAGCGCGACUUGAUGACCCUAAUAGAGAGUUCCGAGCUGCAUUGGCUAGUUGGUACGGUAACGGCUUACCAAGGCGACGAUGCGUAGCCGACCUGAGAGGAUGAUCAGCCACACUGGAACUGAGACACGGUCCAGACUCCUACGGGAGGCAGCAGUGGGGAAUCUUGGGCAAUGGGCGAAAGCCUGACGCAGCAAUGCCGCGUGUGUGAUGAAGGUCUUCGGAUCGUAAAGCUCUGUUAGUUGGGAAGAACGGAUGUGUAAUUAACUGUGCCCAUCUUGACGGUACCUACUGAGAAAGCACCGGCUAACUACGUG